rnacentral:lncRNA from 1 species
CGAGGUCAAAUGUUAAAUCAAAAAUAACAAUUUUGACGUUUCUCUCAAGACGUUUGUGCACAUGCUGCUUGAAAACCUCCGCCCUUCACUUUUCCAAGAUAAGGGAUUUCCCCUCAACAAACAUCGUCGCUACCCUCAAUAACAAAAUAAACCUUUUCACUGGGGCAGAUUGACUUGGCCAAAAUUUUUCUCGCUUGCGCUAGUAGGGUGAUCCCCGAAUCCAUUGAGACAAAGUAAAAAAAAAUAUAAGGCAAAAAAAAGAAGGCAAAAAGAAAAAAAAAUUGAAAAAGAAAAACAAAAUAAAAAAAAAAGAAUAAGCCCGCUAGAUUGAAAACCCGAAAAGGCGGUCUAGAAAGGAGGAAAAAAGGAAAACACGACUCAUGUUGAGGUCAUCUAGUCGCAAGAGUCGGUCUUUUGAAAAUAAAGCAAGCAUAGUUCAAAAUGAUGUGUGGCCUUCUUGUCUUUACCUAAAAGCAAAAAUAUAUCCAUUGUCACCCCGUUUGAGCCAAAAAAAAAAAAACUAACUAAUUUCAUUUUCAAAAUUUUCCCAAGCAAGGGUUGUCAUUAGGUAAGAGUCAACUCAUGAUGCAAAUAAGAGCACUUAAUGAUCAAACAAAGAGAAUUCAUCAAGGAGAGUAAAAAAAAAAAGAAAAANAAAAAAGAAAUCACAAAGUGAUGUUGAACAAAGAAUCAAAAUCAAAGUUCAAGAAAAAAAACAAAGUGCUCAAAAAGUCAAAUAGUUGAUGCAAUACUUAGAUGAUAACCUUUGUUUCAAAAAAUAAUAACCAACAAACAUUCAUUUGGGCCUUUAUAUCCUUUCUUUCAAUACCUUUUAGCCCUUAGCCACGUUACAAGCUUAAUAAAGUCCACACAGAUUGGAUAAUGUUUGCUAAAGUUUUCAUAAAGCUUAACUUUGCGAUAAGAGGAAAUGAUUUUCAAUGUGUCGAAAAAAAAAAGAGAAAAGAAGAAAAAAUAAAUGUCUCAAGAAAAGGGGAUCUUCCUGCCAACUAGCCAGAAGCAUGCAAAAAGAAAAAUCAAACCCAUUGGGGGCCACCCUUUUAGCCGAUCCUGUACAUGUCCACUACCUCUUCCAAAUUGAACCCCUUGCCGAAGAGAAACUGGGGCAACUUUAUGAGUCUCACACAAAAUUUCAUCAAUCCAUAAUCCCAUGACUGGGGCAACUUUGCAAGUCUCACUUGAUUUUGUGUCACCCUAAUUUUCAUGGAUCCAAACCCCAACUCAUUUUCCUAAACACAAAACCGGGGCAGAAUUUUUGAUAUAUUGUGUUUCGUCUUGACACUCACAUAUUACGUCUCCUUUGAGGAUUGAAGUACCCAUGUGCCUGUCCCAGCCUUCCAAACCAUUCCAAAUCACUCUCAUUCUUUUCUAAAAUCAUCCUUUUGCCAAUGAAUUCAAGCAUGUGUGCACUGAUGUCAAGAAAGAACAAGUCAAACAUAUAAUCAUAUCUAGCAUUAGACCUUGCAUGCAUGACAUUACUCAGAUUUCACAAAAUCAUUGAAAUAAAGACCAGUUUGAUGAUUGCAAGUAAGAUGACUGACUCAAAAAAAAAAUGCAAAAUAAAGCAAAUGUUUUUCAUCAAUUCAAAAAGAAAGUUUUUCGGAUCGAAACCCUCUUCAUUCAUAUGAAUGGUGGUCGAGUCCUUCUUCAAAAAUAAAAAUGACAUGCAAAUGAUCUUUUUCAAGUGAUUUUGUUUUUUGCCGAUCAUGUUUUUCUCUCAUAUUGGGGUUUUGACACAACCUGAUCCUGCAUCAAAUUUUUGACACUUUGUCAUGAAGGGUUUCAACUCCUUGUUGCUUUUCAGAAAUCAAGUUUUUGUCGAAAAUCAUAAAAAAUACAAAUUUCAAAUUUCAUAAGCCCAGUUUCAUCUCGCAAUUUCAAAUUUCAUAAGCCCAGUUUUAUCUGGCCAUUUCAAAAUUCCAAAAGCCCAGUUUCAUCUGGCAAUUUCAAAAUUUCAAAAAGCCCAGUUUCAUGUGACCAUUUCAAAAUUUCAAAAGCCCAGUUUUGUCUGGCACCCAAAGCCCAGCUCGCCUGGCACCCCAAGCUCAAGUUUUUCUUUCUGUUAUCGGCCCUCUGCGAGGCAAUGGUCGGAUUUAAAUUUCUGUUCUGCGAGUUUGGCCUUUUGCGAGGCAAUGGUCAAAUCCAGUUUUUCUUUCUGUUAUCGGUCCUCUGCGAGGCAAUGGUCGGAUUUAAAUUUCUGUUCUGCGAGUUUGGCCCUCUGCGAGGCAAUGGUCAAAUCCAGGUUUU